AAAAAUAAUUUCGCAAAUUCUACUGUUUCUCUCACUUUCUCAUUUCCUGAGCUGGAAACUAGAGAUAUUCAAUGAAAAAGCCAGUCAGUUACUCAAGCAAAAUGGAACAAGUUAUCCAAAUUGUAAAUAUUUUGGAAUUAUAAUUUUUUAAAGCAGUUAAGAACCUCUUCAACGAAGUCCAAUUCGAAUCUAAUACAUUUGGGCCGGUUUUUCGAAUAACUUUUGUGCUUUAAUCUGAAGCUAGUGUGGUCAAGUUGAAAAAAUCUUUGAGGGUCUAGUAAUCCAUAUCUAUAAAUUUACUGCUAUCAAGAUCAACUAGUCUUUUCAGCAACUAGCUAGAGCUGGAGUCAAAUGCAAACCUUUCAUUGGAGUUUUUAUACCCUUGCAACAUGUUGCUACAGAGCAUAAUAGCUUUGUUUACCUUAAGGUUGCAAGUACCACAUAAAACUAGUCGAGAUAGAUAUAGGGUUAAGCUAUAUAAGUGUAUUUUGGCAUUUGGCAUUGCAGUAGCAAGUUGUAUCUGUGGACUAAAAAUUUUGGAAAAGUGGGCAUGGCACCGCCCUCUAAUACGUUUAAUGGUUAUAUGAAAAAUAAAUGAAAGAGACCCCAUCUUUCUUGCCGGAAUAUUAAACGGAUUCAGCGAAUCUAAGUAGCAGUCUAGUGAUUUCUAAACGUGUCAGGUAUUAAAUAUAAUAUGAUAACUGUAAUGUCAAUGUUAAUAUUGUUAGAAAAUAAAGGAAGUACUUUACAUCUACAUUUAAA